rnacentral:piRNA from 1 species
UGAGCUCAUCUCAUAGCCCUGUGUCC